rnacentral:rRNA from 2 species
GGAGCUUGCUCCCUUAGGUCAGCGGCGGACGGGUGAGUAACACGUGGGUAACCUGCCUGUAAGACUGGGAUAACUCCGGGAAACCGGGGCUAAUACCGGAUGCUUGAUUGAACCGCAUGGUUCAAUCAUAAAAGGUGGCUUUUAGCUACCACUUACAGAUGGACCCGCGGCGCAUUAGCUAGUUGGUGAGGUAACGGCUCACCAAGGCGACGAUGCGUAGCCGACCUGAGAGGGUGAUCGGCCACACUGGGACUGAGACACGGCCCAGACUCCUACGGGAGGCAGCAGUAGGGAAUCUUCCGCAAUGGACGAAAGUCUGACGGAGCAACGCCGCGUGAGUGAUGAAGGUUUUCGGAUCGUAAAACUCUGUUGUUAGGGAAGAACAAGUACCGUUCGAAUAGGGCGGUACCUUGACGGUACCUAACCAGAAAGCCACGGCUAACUACGUGCCAGCAGCCGCGGUAAUACGUAGGUGGCAAGCGUUGUCCGGAAUUAUUGGGCGUAAAGCGCGCGCAGGCGGUUUCUUAAGUCUGAUGUGAAAGCCCCCGGCUCAACCGGGGAGGGUCAUUGGAAACUGGGGAACUUGAGUGCAGAAGAGGAGAGUGGAAUUCCACGUGUAGCGGUGAAAUGCGUAGAGAUGUGGAGGAACACCAGUGGCGAAGGCGACUCUCUGGUCUGUAACUGACGCUGAGGCGCGAAAGCGUGGGGAGCGAACAGGAUUAGAUACCCUGGUAGUCCACGCCGUAAACGAUGAGUGCUAAGUGUUAGAGGGUUUCCGCCCUUUAGUGCUGCAGCAAACGCAUUAAGCACUCCGCCUGGGGAGUACGGUCGCAAGACUGAAACUCAAAGGAAUUGACGGGGGCCCGCACAAGCGGUGGAGCAUGUGGUUUAAUUCGAAGCAACGCGAAGAACCUUACCAGGUCUUGACAUCCUCUGACAACCCUAGAGAUAGGGCUUCCCCUUCGGGGGCAGAGUGACAGGUGGUGCAUGGUUGUCGUCAGCUCGUGUCGUGAGAUGUUGGGUUAAGUCCCGCAACGAGCGCAACCCUUGAUCUUAGUUGCCAGCAUUCAGUUGGGCACUCUAAGGUGACUGCCGGUGACAAACCGGAGGAAGGUGGGGAUGACGUCAAAUCAUCAUGCCCCUUAUGACCUGGGCUACACACGUGCUACAAUGGGCAGAACAAAGGGCAGCG